rnacentral:lncRNA from 1 species
CAUCUUUUCACUUUGUAUAAAUUUCAGUAAUACUUUUAAGAACACCUAGAGACUCUACCUAUCCACCAUGCACAAAGUUGGCUGUAAGGUAGGACUGGCAAAGGUUCCCAGAUUGCCCAAUGGUUUCUUAAAGGUGAUUCUUGCAAGGCUCUUGGGGAAAGGAAAGUUUACUGGUACCUAUGGAUAAUCACAAAGGUGCUUCACUUCAUGUGGAUGUUUCUGCUCCAUCAGAGAAGAUGCAUUAAACUACCUCCUUAUCUGACAGCACUUAAUCCAUGCACUGGGUCUGCCAGGUCUAAGAAGUUCUUCAUUCUUAUGGGAAUCUGCAUUAACAAAUAGCCACUGAAUACUCUCCUGGAGAUGUAAGCAACCUGUCAAGAUAGGAAGAAGUUAAUAAACAAAGUAUACAGCUGGAAAUCAAAUUCACAUCCCUAUAAUGGCUCUUGCACACUGAGAACCCCUCCUUUGAACAUUGCUUCCCUGAUGUGAUAGCGUUAAAUUUUGCCUACGGUGAGACAACCUGGAGGAAAUUGUUCAGAAUUGUUUGGAGUUUGCUUGAUGCUGUUCUUCUUCUUUCUCUCAUAUUUUUUCAUCUUCUUUGUUUACUCUUUAGGAAAAAUUUGUGUGGCUGUGAAGAUGAUUGAAGCAUCAUUUUCUCAGUUUUUCCCCGGAUUUCUUCUUUGCACUCUAUGCCAUCCUUUCUUCCUGCGACUCUUCCUUUUGUGACAAAAAGCACUGCUAAUUGCAUAGAUUAGCUUCAAAUCCAGGAUCAAAGGUUUAACGCUUCGAUUUUCUGCUUCUUAGGCAUUUUAUUUUUUUUCUCUCAUAUGGGAAAUUUGCAAAACUGUUCACUACAGAAUUGAGUUGAUUUUCCUCUGAAAGUUGAGGGAAAAGGCUAAGCAUGGAAGGGGUAUGUUCUUACUUGACCUUAUCUGUUCUUUUGGCAGGUAUAUACUUUGCAUUAUGUCAUUAAAAGGCAAAGUGAUGGUUUUCAAGUGUUUUUGCAGAGCCAUGCUGCAGAGAGAGGAAAUGCUGCCACUGUGUCAUUUUUACAUUUCCUGAGAGUGAUAAAACAGAACCAACUCUUGGCAUAUAGACUGUUUAUACACUGUUUGCUGAGCUUGGUGAAAAGACGUUAUGUGUUCCUUGUCUAUCAAAAAUUUGUACAGGCAUGGAGAGUGGAUAGGCAGCAUUUUGAAAAGUUCCUUAGGGCUUUUUAGAAAGAUUUUUUAUACUUCAACUGGCAUGAGAGGCUUCCAUUUCAAACGUCAACAAAGGCUGGCAUUUGUGAGCCUGCCUUGCUGCUGAGGGCUGCAAGGAGUCAGAGUUCCCUGUGCAACUCUGAAUCAAGUUCAGCCUUGUGUUCUCAUCUGUAAUCAGAUAAAACAAACAAACAAGAAAGGAUGGGUGGGGAAAGCAUUAAUAUUUUAAACCUGGCUUUACCUGUCUGUUGCCUUUGAAAAUAAAAUUGUGUGUUUGAAUCAGUUUUGGCAGUCAAAUUUUGUGAAAUCUGUUGCAUGCAAUUUGAACAGCCACUAUACCUUCACAACACCCCAGGUGUAGAGAGUUACGCUGACAGUCAACCUAUGAAUUCAAAACUCUGUACAUAAAAGUAGGUAUUGCUAAUGCUGUGCUUAAAACUAUUCCACCAAAGAAAAGAACUUAAUAACAUGGGGGUGGUGAAGGUGAAGCUAUAUGAAAGCAUAGCUUUCCACAGCACAGUGUUGGAGUUAUUUUUCUUACGUACAACCACCACAGAGCUUUCCUUUCCCUUAGCAGCAGCCAAUCAAAAAAACACAAAAGUGGCAGAUGACUAAAGCAUGCUUAAUGACAAACAACAUACAGUUUUCUCAGUGUCUGCAUUAGCUAAUGAAAAUAGAAGCUGAAAGAAUCAGGAGCAGAUCCAUUACAUGGCUUGCUUUUGUGUAAAUUGACUUUAUUUAUGUUUAAGCUUACAGAUAAACAGUUUGUGAUUCCAGAAAUUGCCUGUUAUAUACAGUCCGUUGAUGUGAUAUAUUUUGUUUCUUGAAGGCUUCUGAAGAUAAAAUAAUAAUAAUAAUAAUUACUCUUUCUAUAAUGACAACAUUUUAUCACCACAGAUAAUGAGAGUGCAGAAUUAUGGUUUACUCACCCACACACUGAAGAAAAUCGUGUCAUUCCUACAUCCAUUGCAAGGGAUAGAUUUAUUUUCUUUGUCCUUUCUUUUUUGUUCUUGCUUUUUGGAAACUUGAAUGUCCUCUUUCCCUGGUUUUCUCGCUUGCUCAUCAACAACCUCUAAUGCAAAUUUAUACUAAAUAUUGCUUGAUCACACUCCCAAAUCACAAGAAUUAAUUCUUACCAUUAUUAUUUCUGCUGUCACAAAGAUUUAAAAACAUAAAUAGCUUUUUCUUUUUUUCUUCUUUUUUAUUUUUUAUUUUUGAGGCAAGAAGAAGAAAGGGUAUUGAACAAACACAUGACACUAAAGGAAUAAAAUAUGAACUGAACUUCCUCUAGAUUUCAAGCUAAUUAUUUUUCCCAGUUUGGUUACACACAACUGAGAAACAUUUAAAGGGAUGCAAAUUAGAAGACGGUUAAUACGCAACCUAUGGUUUCAUCUGCCAGUCUUCAAGCAGAAGACCACGCUUCCCCCUCCAACACCAUUUUCAAGUUUUAUAGCUUAGUGUAACCAUUUUAAUUGUUCUUUUUCUGCAAGGCAUGAAGAUAAACCAUGCAUGAAUCAAUACAUGAAUGAAUCAGCCUCUGGUCUAGCUCACUGAUGUACUCAUCAUUUAUAUCCUUGCAUAAUUUACAGAAAUUGAAAGUGUAGUGAGGCUUUGCAUUCAGCUGAAUGUGGUUUGUUUACACAGUCCAAUAGAGUUUCACGUUCCAGAAAAGCUGAUUCUGCAGGGAUUGCUCAAGCAGGAUAAAAACAUCUAAAGCUUUGUGCUAAAAUAGAUGCAGUUAAGUGCCUAGGUGUCCCAUCACUUUUAGCCAAAUCUUAAUGAGAACACUGACAUCUUGGCUUUGUUGUGCAUGGUUUCACUUAAUUCAGAGGUAGCUGGGGCUCCCUGCACAAAAUUCAGUAGGCUGGAGUAUUAGCCUUUGGCUGAAAGAAAGACUAAGAUUCAUCUCAGUGAACUGCAGCUGCUUGAAAGUUAGGCAUCUAAACUAAUUUACUCGUCCAGGUUCCUGCAGUGACUGAGACACCUCCCCCACCUGGCUGUUCCUCUCAUAACCAGGAUUCACCUCCAGAGAUUACCACCUCUUGGAUGCCAUUCUCAAUUCUUCAUUUCCACUAACCUUAACAGGAUGUGAGACCACAAAAAGCAAGACACAUUAACUAUUCCCAGCACUUCUAGAAAAAUACCCUUACUAUCAGCAUGUUUCCUUCUGUUUUCUGUACCCACUUUGGCCAUACAUCACAGGAAUUAGGACUAAUGGGAAGAAAAUCCCUGCCAGGUUUCCUCAGAGCUCUUCUCCUUUGGCAAUGGUGUUUUUCCCCCAUUCUCUCCACUUUCACACAAACACACCCCACCAUUCCCCAGCCAACAAUGGAGACCGGGGGAUGAGGGGGGAGGGCAAACCCUGCAGACUGUCUGCCUCCACAGACUGUUAUUUUGGAUUUCAUUGACCUUUGAUAGGGCAACUCUUUUUCGGAUCGCUCUCUUGGUUGUAUUCUCCAGGGGAUAUGGCUUUUUACAUUACAAAUUUUGAAAGAUUCUAGGGAAGAAUUUCUGUCUCUCAAAAGCCCUAUAUCUGUUUGAAGUGUUUGGGUUUAUCAGUGACAAUUACAAAACAGAAGCAGUCUGUAUGUGAGGAAAGAUUUCUGUUUGUUGUUUGUAAGCUAUUUUCACUUUGGCUGUAGCUGUCAAGGGGGAUUUCACAGCCAUCCACAUUAUGUCUCACCCCUGUAGCUGAUAUCAGAGCAACCUUAGCUGCUUGAGUAGAAAAAAGAAUCAAGGAGACACAUUAUCUUUUAAAGAAAAGGAACAAAAAAUACUUUUGCAGAACCAACCUAGAGCUCUGCAUCAAAUACCAUCUGUGUUUAAAAAGAAACACAGGGUUGUGAUGUUAAUGAAUUAUUGUUAUUUCCUAGAGGCACAGAUGAAGUGUUUGGUUUUGUGCAAAUCAGAAGUCUCAAACCAGCCCUGUCCCAUUAGCACGGCACAUCAAACACCACAAGCUGAUUUUUGGUUUUUUGGUUCAGCUGAAGGCUGAGGAUUUACACCACUAACAACAGCCACGCAUAUGGUCACAUACAGUCAGGAAAUGAACAACUCUGCAUGAACCGAAGAGAGCGAGGGUGCAAUAAAAACAUAUCCUGCAAAGGGAUCUGUGACGGGAAAUGGGAGGAGAGCUCAGCUUGCAAGAGAAGAACAAAGCCUGUCUCUCUCCAGACUCCACUCUUCAGCAACAUACCACUCAGGAAAGGCCCUGAAAUCCAAAACAUCACUGAGGAGAUGUUUCAGUCUGUGUGAAGGUCAACACCCAGGGUACUGAGAGGGCACCAAGAGGUGCAUCGUGACAAAGAGGCCUGUCCCCCUGCAGAGCCUGGGCCUGGGCUUCAGAAGAUGCUGAUGAAGGCACUGGGUUUGUCCCAUCAUCCAAACACUUACAAUGAGGUGGUAUAUUGCUCCUCAGACAUGGAUGAGAUGCAUACUUCCAUCUGAGAAAUCAAGUCAGAACAGAAUAAGAUGCUUGAAGACUCCUGACAGGAAAAGACAAAAGAAGAUUAGAAACCUUGCACGCAGCAGCAAAAACAGACUGUGAAUAUUGAAAGCAGGUAUUUAUUGUAACUAUGUAAGAGGAAAUCCUUGAAAUAACUUUCAAGAGGUUCAGCCUUACAACUGAAUCAAAGGCUCACUCUAUUUCCAUUUUCUUUAGGAUCCUGGAUUUUAAAUACAAGCUCAAUUUUCAUGUUUGGAUUUAACCUCUGCAUGUGAGCACAUCUGCCAGAUGAUCCAACCCACUGAUGCUACCUGCCCUCCUAAGUUGAUCUCCCUGGCUGAAGGGUCAGGAGGAGUACUGCCAACCUGGACAGGGUUUCUCAUCUUGAAGCAGAAGAUAGGAAGAGUACAUUCAAGUUAUGAAAUGCAGCAUCAGGGAGAAGAACAGUGCUGGGCCAAAAACCUUGCUUUGCCCCACCACUCAGCAUCGUGCUGCAGCAGGGAGAGGGCAGCAGUCCCUCUGGUACCCCUAUUCUCCAUGCAAAGAGCAGCAGACGGCGGUGAUCAGAUCCAGCCUUGCUGACCUUGCACCAACAUGGAUAUGGAGCAGCCACAUGGUGAGAGCACUGGAAAAGAAGCUUAAAAUCUGCUCCAACUGUUUCCCAGCAGGUGUUUACUUCCUCCCAGCUGACAAGCGUGACUUGCUGUACAAACACACACACCCCUUUGCGGACAAAGUCAAACAAGCAAACCUUUGGCAGCAAUUUAAGUUUGUGUGACAUUGCUCUUAGAUACUUUAAGAGCAAUUAUAUGGCAGGUAACUGCCUCUCCUCUGGGAGGUGGCAACAAAGGGCUGGGAGUUCAAAGACAUGCCAGAGUCAUUUAUUCAGUUAUGAUAAUAACCAGGGUGUAAAUUACAACAGACUGUGAAACAGAAUUGCUAUUAGAUUUAACAACAGAUGGGUAAUUGUUCCCAAAUCCUGACAAUACUGAAAUGUGCACCUUAAUGAUUUCAACUCCAUGUGAAGUGACUGGGCUCCGGCUUGGAGCCUCCAGUGUAGAUUUAGAUAUAAGUGCAGAAACCAGGGACAUCCCUGAGCAAUAGCACCAGUGGGUAGGAACAUUGCCCCUUUGCCUUUCUGGUCCUGUCCUGUGGGGGACCCACAGCUCUUUUGGCCUUGUGAGAGCUGAGUCCCACCUACAGCAUCACAGGGAAGACAGUUUGAUCUAGAUGUAAAAAAGGGAUUGCUGAACCUAAAAGCAGGAAAGAAAUAGAAAAAGAGAGGAAGAAAAUGCUGUCCAGGAGGAGUAAUAACAGCAUGUGCCAGAGGGAACAAGUUCCCUGCCUGGCAACAUCCCUUCCUGUGGUCCAGGAUGAAAAAAAGGACUGCUCUGUGCUGAAAUGGAUGGAUGGCUGUAUAGGGUGAGGAGCUGCACCUGGAUGAGACAUAAAACCAAGGCCCUUAUUAUGGUGUCCACUCAUCAAAGCUCUUAUCAUUUUUACUUUCAAAGAACAGAACGUGACACCUUGUUUCCUGUUUUAAACCAGGUCAUUAACUAAUUUUUCCCUUUCAGUGUAAAUACUAUUUUCCUUUGUGGUGGCAUUCUUUGCUGUUGGGUGCCAUGACAGUGCUACACUGCUGUCUUCCCUGACAGAAGUCACAGUAAGGGAAAAUAAUUUUAGCCAAAACAUUUUUGUCAGUGAUAUUCUGAUUGAAAAUCCCUCUACACCUAUGUCUCAGCUGCAGAUUUGCCCUAAGACUUCCUGUAAUCUUUCUGGUGAAGCUCCACUACACACAAAUCAAAUCAAGAGAAGCUCUCAUCAGUGUGAAAUACAACAGAGAGCAUUUCCCAGGCUAUAUGUCCUGAUUAAGUGCAUUUUGUUCCCAAAUUUACAGCAUGAUUUAGAUUUUCAUGUGUUGUUCUGUUGCAAAAAAUAGUCCUUACUCAAGACCAGUCUGCAUUAUGCUUUCAAAACUAUCACAGUGCUGGAGGGAACCUGCAGUACCAAUACCAGAGAUAAUUCCAUCACAGAUCAUUCCCCUUUGUUGGAGAAAGCUUUUGUUUUGGCCACCUAUAGAGCCACUAUCCAGCUCUCUGUGUGAAUGUACAGGAAAGCACAUGUAUGUACUGAGUUGAGAACAACCAGUUUCACUUCACGGCAGAUGUUAGCAGCCUGGUGCUCCUAGCUGAAUACCUGAUACAUUAUUCCGUGUUUAUUAACCACCAAUUUAUAGGCCAGAUUUUUAGACAGUGUACAUCUGGACUUCUCUGCUGAGGUUGCUCCUUUGUAUUACGCAAGCUGCAGUCUGUAGCAUAUCUCACAUUACAUAACAUUUUCAUAUUUAUAACUAAAGUAUUUUAGAAGCAUUCUUUAAUAUUUUGACUGGAAAGCAGAGCACUGUCUUCUUUUGAAAUGCGUGUUAGAAUGACAGGGACAGAGGACAGAUAGUAAGCAAAGAUAUACAGCGGGGUUUUAUUUUCUUGCAUCCAUGCAUAACUGAUCCAAACAUUUUAGAGUAUAGAAUGUAACGUGCUGCUUAGCACUGACAAAAGCACCAGGUGUUACCUGAUGACAAGAAACUGGUUCAGAGUUGCAGAAACAAGACAUUUCAAGUGUCCUUAGGCUUUCCUCUGUGAAAUCAAACACUUCUCAUAGAAUACCGAGGUUACCAAACUCACAGAGCAUCUCAUUGAAGCAUAUGUUUUUGAACCAAAAGGCCACAGUGCUCAGUCUGAGGUCAGCAAUAGCUGUAACACCCAGCACACCCCAUACAAGAAUGAGCCAGUCACCUUAUAUGAGUCAGUCGUGAGAGACCUUGCUUGUCACUUUAGAUAAUUUUCACAAACAGACCAGUCAAGACCUGUGGAUCCAAUUGUUGGUAUCACUUAGUUGAGCAGAGUUUGCAAACCAGGACUUGAUGGGCCAGAUUGGCCAGCUCCUUAUGUCUCCCAUGUGCUGACGAGACUCCACCAACACUGCUGGUUGUACAUGGAGGUAUUUGGAGGGGCUGCCAGGCUCCCUGCAUCCCAUCAGAUUCCCACCAAAAGGCAUUCAAAGGGAAUUUUAAGCAUCAGGGUUAACCGUGCUCCAAGCAAAAGCAAAGGAAGAAAAAAUAACAUAGCUGUUAAUUGUUUUGAUUUUAAAAUGCAUCUCAUUAUAUGCAAAUUUAGUUGUGUUUCUUUUUUUUUUUUCCAGAGUAGUCAACUUUUGAAUAAAUCACACUGCUCCUGCCACUCACAGUGCUGUCAAGUUACUUGUCAAAAUCAACGUGGUCAGGCAGAAAGGUCACCAAAUGUAAGAGGAUUUUUUUUUUCAUGGAAAAGAUUUCCUCUUCUUCUGUUUGGCACCACCAAGCACGACCUGUGUCCAUCACUUGCCAUGAGCAUCACCCUGCUGUGCUAUCUCCCAUAUCAUCAGAGCUUGCCACACUUCUAGAGGAAGCUGAGCUCAUGUUUCUUUUUCAGGUAUGCUCUGACAAGCCAUGCAGCUUUGUACCUAGCUGGUACGUGUGUAGGUACUGAAUGCCAUCCAGCACUGUACGCCAAUUAAGUAAAUGCACUUUGAGAACAGAUGUGACAUUUAAAAAGUCCCUGCAAAACCUCUUUCAGCAAAACAUCAAGCAAAACAUUAGCAGCACUCUGAAGAAUUUCUGAGAAAAUGUGAGAUGAUUUUACUUCUGCAACAACAGCAACAAAAAUAAACGCAAGGCAGGAAGAGGAAAACACACUUGUUAAAUAACAGCCAAAUCAGCCGGUGUGAAAAUCUGAUGAGAAGUUAUUGACUGCAAAGGAGUACGUGUGCAUAUACCACAUCACUGCCACAGAGACACAGGAUGUUGUUAGUACAAUGAGAACCUUUGCUCAGCUGUCAUUAAACCGCAGGCUGUACUCACUCUUGGUCUGUUUGACUAAUUCUCAGAUACAUUUCACAGUAUCAGCUGUUCUGCUGGAUAAGUUACGCCAACUGCUCUCCCUCUGACAGGAUGAACUGAGUUGCUUCUUGUUGAUACUGAAGAAACAAGGCUGCACGUGCUAUCUGCUCCUCCCCACGCUCUCAAAAACAAAACACCAUGGUGGUGCAUAGAGAACCUGGACACCACACCAGUAAAUGCUUACAUAUGUCCUGAAUGUCACUCCAGAUCCUCCCACUUUGACCUAUUGCAGGGUUUAAUCCCACCUGCUAUUAAAUAAACAGCAGGAUUCCCAUUGAAAAGAAGCUAAGUUCUCUUGUCCUUGCAGGAACAGGAGUAUGCCCAGAGAAGUACAUGUUUUUUUUCUCUCACUAAUGCUGCAUUAAACAAACCCCGUGUUCCAAAUAGCAAUAAUAAUCAACUACAUAACCCUCCCAUAAGGUAGAUGAAGUGGUGUAGGCAGGGGUCAAUGCAGUUCAUGCAGCUCUAACUUGGGCUGUGCAGAGUUUUCCCACUGCUGGGCUUGGAGAACAAACGUGAAUGUUAUUUAUCUGUCAUUUUAAUUACUGCCAUAGCACUGGCACAGUGAAGAAAAGCACUGUGAAGCAGAAACUGGUAGCUGUAUUUCCUGCAGUACUCCUGUCUUCAAAGGACAAAGAAGUAAAACACAAGAUAUGUUUCCGGCUCUUCCACAAGCAUCUCCCAAGUUCCAUAGGAAAAAAGGCUCUUUGCCAACAGUUACAAAAGUCUUUUAUAUGACCACAUGUAUAUUCACACAUGUACUCUGAAAUUACUGAGAAGUCAGACAUGAGGAAAAGUGAUUUUUUUUCAAAAUUAGUAGCCAGAAUUAGAAAUGGGCAAUAGAUGUCCUUACUCAGAGCCUUCCUUUGAACAUCAGGACACAGUUCAAGCAAGAAACACUGGUAAAUUUAGCAAGAUUUCCCAGACACAUUACUGAGCUUUGACGAGAUGUGUUCUUUGUGAACUCUCAGCAGUUCCCUUGUCUGGUAGGCAUCUGCAACAUGCUGAAAUGCCCUAGUGCUGCUCUGUUCUCACCUAAGCAAUGUAGCUGACCUUUCCAUAUCAGUCCUUGUGUGUAGCAUGAUAGCUUUAACCGGGCAAGACAAAGAAAAGCCAACAUAACGUGGCUGCAGUCACGUUAUCUGUCUGAGAGACUUUCUUUACUGCCUCUUUAGCUGAACAGUGAAUGAAUGGCACUUUUGCAGAUUUAACCUUUCCUUUAUGUUAUUUCUCCUUUCUCUGAGUCACGAGGAUUUCAUUCUCUGUUCUGUAGCUCACCUGCAAAAAGUACCAUUUCCUUCUUCUGCCACAAAACAUGCGCUCACAGUGUAGAGACAGAAGAAACACUGCUAUCAUUUCCCCUUGGCCGAUGUGAGGAGAUCAUGCAGCUAAAGGCAGCAGUGUCUGUGCCGUGUUUACAUUCCUGCUGAGCAGGUACAGACAGGGCACAGACCCAGAUGUGUCAACUGGGGCACUGCUGUGCACACACAAAAAAAUCAUCAAGAAAUUGAAGUUCUGCCAAAGGGAAACUCAGGGGUCUUUUUGCAGCAUCCAGGGCAGGGAUUAAUGCUGGCAAUUGUGCGCGGCUUUUAAUUUCCUAGGGGUGACAUUUCUGAUGCCAUAAAGGCAUAAUUCUGUGGUUCAUUUUGUUUCUACUUACCCAGCAUACCUCUCAUAAAGAAGAGCAAUAGAUUAUUAUCUGACUUGUUCUUGCUGUUUUACAGACAGCAUUUUGCGAGGGUUGCCUUGUCCAUUCUGAGGAUGCUUUCAAAACACUACUCAAAAAGGGCUUUUUUUUCCCCCCAGUUUUAAAAGAUGAACUCCUCUUUCUAUGUUAUUUCUAUGAAUGUCCAACAUGAUUCAAAUUUUUCACAUGCAAUUCCUGAAUAUGAGUGCCUCCUCUAUUGCAUAUCUGACAACAACACAAUUGUGUUUGGAGAGUGAGUGCAAGGGCAUGCACAAAGUCUGGCCUCUGGAACAUCGCUCACACUGGAAGUAAUCGGAACUGCGAUAUCCUAAAUAAUAACACAUUUUUUAAAAUAGCAGCAACAAUCCCCUUUCUAGGGAUGCUUUAUGAUGCUGACUGCUUAAAUAGUCCCACCAAGGGGGCUGCGCAUGCAACAGGUUUCCGAAGAGCUCUGAUUCUGUCCCACCCGAUCACAGAGUGAGGGGGAAUCUUUCUAUAAGGAAAUUUUCAUAUUCAUAAAAAAAAGAUAUGUCUACAGCUUAAUUUGUGGGCCGAUAUGAAAGGCACUGGCAAAGAGUUCCUCAAAAUUUAGAUUUUUGUUAGAAAUCGUUUGUUAGCUAUGAAUCCUUUCCCUUUCCUUGCACCACAAAUAGCUGAGUCAGCAAACGAGAUGUUUCUUUGUAUCAUGAAGACAACAUAUUUGCCCCCAUAUAAGUUUCCUUUGGCCUUUUUUUGAUUGUUUGUUUGUUUUGUUUGUUUGUUUGUAGACACAGCUCAUGAAAAUCAAGGUAGUCCAAAACUGCUACAUUUUACGUGUAGGCACAAGGACUUGGAUAAGACAGCCAUUAUCAUCCUUUCAGCAAGGCCAGUGGUAUAGCUGAGCAGAAUCUUGCCCUAUAUCAGUACAGUGAGCACCAAGGGUGCAAAGCUGGAGAAAUGAGCAGGGCUUUCUGAGCCAAGGAGAUAGCUUCCACCCAAGGUCCCUGUCCAUAGCUCCUCAUCUCUUCCCUGGACACAUACACCUGAUCUUCCUGCCCACAAGCAUGCACUGUGCUGCAGGAGCUAACAGGAAGAUGUGUUUGGGAUGGCUCUGCUGAGGGACAGAGGCUUUCCUGUCACCAGCAGCACAGAGGGAGGGACAGGUCACCUCCAAGACACAUACUGCAUGUGCAAAGAAUAUGGCUUUUGCAGCUUGAACAGGGGAAAGGCAGGGAGGAUCCAAUCCAGCCAGCAGAGAGGAAAAGAAAACACAGUGAUAGUGAGACAAGAUAUCUUGGGAAACUGCAAACAUCUUACCUAAUGAGCUCUGAGGGUCACAGCACCACCAGUCUGGUCCACUGCCCAAGACGCUUCUUCCAGUUGCUCUGUGUCACAUGGCCUCG